AGAGGUGUAGCUUAGUGGUAGAGAAUUUGCCUGAGUGCAGAAGGUUCCAGGUUCGAUCCCCGUCAUCUCCA